rnacentral:rRNA from 1 species
CAGCAGCCGCGGUAAUACGUAGGUCCCGAGCGUUGUCCGGAUUUAUUGGGCGUAAAGGGAGCGCAGGCGGUUUAGUAAGUCUGAAGUUAAAGGCAUUGGCUCAACCAAUGUAUGCUUUGGAAACUGUUAGACUUGAGUGCAGAAGGGGAGAGUGGAAUUCCAUGUGUAGCGGUGAAAUGCGUAGAUAUAUGGAGGAACACCGGUGGCGAAAGCGGCUCUCUGGUCUGUCACUGACGCUGAGGCUCGAAAGCGUGGGUAGCGAACAGGAUUAGAUACCCCAGUAGUCCCUGUCUCUUAUACA